ensembl:lncRNA
CAGUUAAGGCUAUAAUGAUUCUCAGACGAGCCGCUUCUUUUUCGACUUUUGUUGUGGUACUGCAGGUUACACCAGCAACAUGCCCGUGGAUGCUGCAGACUAGCGGUUUGCAUGUGUACUGCACGUCGACGCAGACAACGAUGCAGAAGUACUGUAUAAAUGAAAACCGACGCACAGCCUAUGGCGUAGAGUCUACGGUCUACACCUUAGAGUUAGAGUUAGAGUCUACACCUUAAGUGUUGUGGCCCCACAGUGUGAAAUAUUGACCAGUUGACCAGUUUGAGUGGAGAAAGCAGUAUUUGAGAUUGCAAGAAAGCAGAAAUGGCCUCCUGUAACUUCAAAAAGAGCAGGAACGACGCAAGAAAUUCCGCCAGAGGCGUUCAGUGGACCUGGACAACACAGCUUUGCGAGUCCAGAGGGCAAAGUCCCAAAAAGAGCAAAAAAAACACAGAAAUUUCGGAAACCUCCCUGGCCUUCAGUGAUGUCUUUGGAGGAAAGCGAAAGGAGGAGAUGUCCCCAUCCACUAGACAUCUAGAAAAGGCCUGCCGAGAGAGUCUUCUCCACAAGCCGCCCCAUCCACCAGUCAGCAGUGGCCUCCAGUGCUCAAGAAUGUCAGAGUAUCAGACAAAUGUUGACGACGUGCCUCGGACAACUGCUUGAAGGAAAAAGAAGAGAGAGGAAGCCAUUGCACAGGGCCUGCCUCAGAAAAGGCCAAAGGAAUGCAAACCGCUGACUUGCUCUCUGUGUCAGCAGGCAAAAAAUGAAGGAUUAUGGACACUCACGGUACAGUGGCAAAUCCUUUUGCAGCAGUUAUGAGGGCAAGACUGUGGAACUUUGGCUGGCAGAGCAGCAGUCUCUUGCUCCCCCUAAAUAAUUGCCACUGUAUUUUUGUAUUCUUUAUCUCGGUCUUUUAUUAUCUUUGUUAAUUUUAUUAGAUUGUCUGUUUGCAAGUAUGUCAGCAGUAGUUUAGUGUCUGCUGUUAUUUUUUUUUUCCUGCUAAAGAAUGUUUUUAUACAUACACACACACAGUGGGUACAGAAAGUAUUCAGACCCCCUUAAAUUUUUCACUCUGUUAUAUUGCAGCCAUUUGCUAAAAUCAUUUUAAGUUCUUUUUUUUUUCCUCAUUGUACACACAGUACCCCAUAUUGACAGAAAAACACAGAAUUGUUGAUAUUUCAGUUUUUCUUCAAUAAAUCUGCAAAAAUAUCACA